rnacentral:rRNA from 1 species
CCCGGGCCUUGUACACACGCCCGUCACACCACGAAAGCUGGUUGAACCAGAAGCCGGUCACCCAACCCGCAAGGGAGGGAGCCGUCCGAGGUUUGGCUAGUGAUUGGGGUG